AUUGAACGCUGGCGGCAUGCCUUACACAUGCAAGUCGAACGGUAACGCGGGGCAACCUGGCGACGAGUGGCGAACGGGUGAGUAAUGCAUCGGAACGUGCCCAGUAGUGGGGGAUAGCCCGGCGAAAGCCGGAUUAAUACCGCAUACGACCUACGGGUGAAAGCGGGGGACCGUAAGGCCUCGCGCUAUUGGAGCGGCCGAUGUCAGAUUAGGUUGUUGGUGGGGUAAAGGCCUACCAAGCCGACGAUCUGUAGCUGGUCUGAGAGGACGACCAGCCACACUGGGACUGAGACACGGCCCAGACUCCUACGGGAGGCAGCAGUGGGGAAUUUUGGACAAUGGGGGCAACCCUGAUCCAGCCAUGCCGCGUGCGGGAAGAAGGCCUUCGGGUUGUAAACCGCUUUUGUCAGGGAAGAAACGCUCUGGGCUAAUACCCUGGGGUAAUGACGGUACCUGAAGAAUAAGCACCGGCUAACUACGUGCCAGCCGCCGCCGUAA
rnacentral:rRNA from 1 species